rnacentral:misc_RNA from 1 species
CGGGGCGGUGCUGGCUCAUUCUUCACGCCUUUAGGAUUCUGUCUCUUCGCGCUUCUCUUCGUUUCUGGCGCGCCAACAGCGGAUCCGUCCAGCCUAUACACCGCACCUGGCGAGGAGGUACAGGCCGGCGAUGGGCUUCUUUCUUUUCGUCUGUCCUCCCGUUUUUUUUUUGUUUCGCUUAGCUUUCAGUGGUACGGGCCUUCGUGGAUUUGCACAUGGGCGCAGAAAACGCACACAUCGGACGGGCGCGUGCAUACAGCGACAGAUACUGGAGUAUGCAUUAAUGCAUGUUUCCUGGCGACUGUCUGCUGGCAUCCCGUCGUCACCCUCGUUCGAUGUACGAUGUAGCUGUGUAUCGUGGAACCGUUUCUCCUGUUGUGGACGUUUUCACAGCCUACCUGCUCUUUUUUGGGUCCGUCCGCAUUCCGCGGCCCUGUGCGUGUGUGUGCGUGUGUGCCCCGGUGGUGCGCGUGGCUCAUUCACGCUCAGCCUCGAUCGCGUGUGGGAGCUUGUUGUUUCUGUGUUGCGUCUCAUCUCAAUAUCACAUCCAAGACAACCAGGUCGUGAGAAGAGACGCAACAGGUGCAGUGGCCUGUGUGCCCCGUCUCUCUGCUCGAUCUUCCAUCAUGAGUGAGGGCACACAUUCGUAAUGUUGGAGGAAUCGGUCCAUUGCGCUCUGGAGUGUUGUGAGCGUGCCGUCGCCCAUAUUUGUGCACGUGUGCCGUAACCUCGGCGUCUGCGUCUCUUGUUCUGUUCACCGAAGCUGGGGACAGAUGAGGAGGGAGAGGAGGCGGACGCGUGGAUUUUCGUAGGGCACAUCUGGGGGGGGGCGCACAUAACAUUGUUGUUGUUGCUUCGGGUGUGCGGCUUCUCCUUCAGCCUUUUUCUUUUUAUUUUACCUUGUAAAGUUUUCUUUAUACGCGAUGCUCUUUCGGGGUUCCGGAUGAACCACCGCCGGAGCGACGCUCAAGCACGCACACCCGCACACGCUCACAUGCGUUGGAGGCACGGAGGAGAAAGCUGAAGCCGGGGAAACUUCGGUGAGAAGCGCAACCGCGUUCGAUGGACCUUCUCAUUGUGUGAUGUUUUGCUCACGUGCUGAACACGUUACUUGUCGGUCUCUCCUGGGUGUGCGCUUGUGUGACCGGUCGCCUUCAUAUUACUCGUUAGCUAAGUCGCAUAUACACCGUGUGUAGAGCUUUCGCUGAUUCCUUUUCUUUUAUUCGGGGGUGGGGGCCAUUCAGAUUUUGAACAGCGGAAAGAAAAAUAA